rnacentral:rRNA from 1 species
CACGUAGUUAGCCGCGACUUUCUGGUUGAUUACCGUCAAAUAGGGGCCAGUUACUACCUCUAUCCUUCUUCACCAACAACAGAGCUUUACGAUCCGAAAACCUUCUUCACUCACGCGGCGUUGCUCCAUCAGGCUUUCGCCCAUUGUGGAAGAUUCCCUACUGCUGCCUCCCGUAGGAGUUUGGGCCGUGUCUCAGUCCCAAUGUGGCCGAUCAGUCUCUCAACUCGGCUAUGCAUCGUCGCCUUGGUAAGCCAUUACCUUACCAACUAGCUAAUGCACCGCGGGUCCAUCCUUUAGCGACAGCUUUCGCCGCCUUUAAGCAAUAGCCAUGCAGCUAUUGUUGUUAUCCGGUAUUAGCACCUGUUUCCAAGUGGUAUCCCAGACUUUAGGGCAGGUUACCCACGUGUUACUCACCCAUCCGCCGCUCGCGUUCCCAGCGUCAUCACCGAGUGAAUCUGCUGGUUCAGCUCGCUCGACUUGCAUGUAUUAGGCUACGCCG